UGCACACACUCGCACACACGUGCUGGAGGUGGGGUAUCCUUUGAGUUCGGUGCGAGUAUUUCCAAUAAUUAAACAAUCCCCCAAUACGGAAUUGGAUACUCCCCCACUUGAAUCCAUUGAAUCGCACCGACCGAAUCCCAUUGAAUUGAAUCGAAAUGGAGAACUUGGCAGUUCGUUGGGGGAGCUUCCUGCGCGGGGCACGUUGCACUUUACCCGGAUUUCGCCGGCAGGGGUUUCUCGCUGCCCACUGACUAUCGGUGGCCACACUUUAUGUUUUUUUCUUUUUUUUCGUUAGCCACGUCGGUACAAAUCAAUUUAUGCCCGGCCAACGUUUGAACAAUUUCUGUUUCUGUUUCGGUUUCCGUUUCUGGUUCUCUUUGUGCAAUUGACGGGCCAAUAAUUAAGCCGGAGCCCAGGGAAAACGCUCGGAAAACGCAUGGAAAACUCAUGGAAAACUCAUGGAAAACUCACGGAAUGUACCACUGUCCCUGCAGACCGGCUGUCUGGCCCGGUUAUGUGGCCUGUUCUUAUGACUCUGCUGUCGUUGCAAAGUCAAUUUCCUUGCUUAUUUAAAUUUCAAAGCAAAUGACAGAAGGUGUUGUUGCGCUGCCACAAACUGGAUUAAAUUUCGUUUAAAAUGUAAAUGGAAAAAAGCGUGAUAGACAGGUUGGGCUUUUGCCGCCUGAAUCGUAUCCAAAUUGCGUUUACAACGGCGUAACAUCAAAAAAAAAGAAACGAAAAAAAUUGAAAAAGAAUCACCGAACGCUGGGAAAACUAAACAAACACCUCAUCAAAGUACAUCAAAGGACGCCCCCCAAAAAUAAAAAACAGUAAAAACCCCAAAAAUAACCAGGAGGGGAGGAAAAUCAAAAGCGAGGCGAAGGAAAAACGGUGAUUAACAAAACGAACAAUGGGGUGGGCCGUUCACCACCCACUCCGGCCAGGGAAAUUGCAUCAUCAACGUCCUUGCCGCAUUGUGAUCGACAUCAUCAUCAUCACCAUCAUCAGCUCCAUCGUCUGGAUGCAGGGAAGCCAACGUCACCACACUCUGUCAUUAAGGAAGUCAAAAACUUCGACCCCAAGCGGUGAACUGGGCAAAAUCGGGGGAUGCUACUCCCUUUCGCUCCGGAAAAGCUCGGAAAAUGGAGAAAGCGUUUCGAGUGCAGAACCUAAGUGGGUGAACUUUCUAUUUUCCUUCAUCUGUUAUCCACUCCAACCUGUUCAACACCCCCAGCCCCUUGAUACACUGAGCAAAAACCAAAAUUCUUUUGCUUAAAUAUUUUUAAAUUGCCGAAUUAUAGUAUUUGCUAGAUAAGAAAACGUGCGCUUU